rnacentral:rRNA from 1 species
AGCUGAAACUUAAAGGAAUUGACGGAAGCGCACACAAGAAAUGGGGCCUGCGGCUUAAUUUGACUCAACACGGUGCAACUCACCCGGCCCGGACACAGGAAGGAUUGACAGAUUAAGAGCUCUUUCUUGAUUCUGUGACAGGUGGUGCAUGGCCGUUUCUAGUUGGUGGAGUGAUUUGUCUGCUUUAUUGCGAUAACGAGCGAGACUCUAGCCUACUAAAUAGGCGGUCCUUCAGUUUACCGAGGACCGUUCUUCUUAGAGGGACAAGCGGUGUUCAGCCGCACGAAACUGAGCAAAAACAGGUCAGGAUGCCCUUAGAUGUUCGGGGCCGCACGCGCGCCACAUUGAAGGAAUCAGCGUGUGCUUUCCCUCUCCGAUAGGAGUGGGUAACCCGUUGAAACUCCUUCGUGCUAGGGAUAGGAAAUUGUAAUUGUUUUCCUUGAACGAGGAAUUCCCAGUAAGCAUUGAGUCAUCAGCUCGUGUUGAUUACGUCCCUGCGCUUUGUGCACACCGCCCGUCGCUAUUAUCGAUGAAUUUUGGAGUGAGAUCAUCGGACUGGCUAAUUUAUUGGUUCWUUGAGCUGACAAAUGUGUUGGAAAGAUGACCGAACUUGAAUAUUAGAG